UGCAGGGAUGAACAACCUGAUAGGGACAGCUGAUGCCACAUGGCAGCUGCUGCGAACCAGGGAGAGUAUUUUAGUAGAUGCUUCUCUUGUCUGAAC
rfam:Hortaea werneckii EXF-2000 unitig_3, whole genome shotgun sequence.